rnacentral:rRNA from 1 species
UACGAAGGGAGCUAGCGUUGUUCGGAAUCACUGGGCGUAAAGCGCACGUAGGCGGAUGUGUCAGUCAGGGGUGAAAGCCCGGAGCUCAACUCCGGAACUGCCAUUGAAACUGUUUAGCUUGAGGACGAGAGAGGUGAGUGGAAUUCCCAGUGUAGAGGUGAAAUUCGUAGAUAUUGGGAAGAACACCGGUGGCGAAGGCGGCUCACUGGCUCGUUUCUGACGCUCAGGCGCGAUAGCGUGGGGAUCAAACAGG